rnacentral:rRNA from 1 species
UGGUGAGUAACGCGUGAGGAACCUGCCUUUCGGAGGGGGACAACAGUUGGAAACGACUGCUAAUACCGCAUGACGUAUCGGGAUCGCAUGGUCUUGAUACCAAAGAUUUUAUCGCCGAAAGAUGGCCUCGCGUCUGAUUAGCUAGUUGGUGGGGCAACGGCCUACCAAGGCGACGAUCAGUAGCCGGACUGAGAGGUUGGCCGGCCACAUUGGGACUGAGAUACGGCCCAGACUCCUACGGAAGGCAGCAG